CGGGUACAACGAGUCGCAAGCUCGCGAGAGUAAGCUAAUCUCUUAAAGCCGUCCUCAGUUCGGACUGUAGGCUGCAACUCGCCUACACGAAGUCGGAAUCGCUAGUAAUCGCGGAUCAGCAUGCCGCGGUGAAUACGUUCCCGGGCCUUGUACACACCGCCCGUCACACCAUGGGAGUUUGUAACGCCCAAAGUCGGUGGCCUAACCUUUAUGAAGGGAGCCGCCUAAGGCGGGACAGAUGACUGGGGUGAAGUCGUAACAAGGUAGC
rnacentral:rRNA from 1 species